ncrna:unclassified sequences pemK RNA
AUAAUGAUACUUCCGUCUUAGGGCGGCUCGGCGAGAACCGCGGAGGGGUGAGACUCCCAUGA